CAGACACCUGGCCAUUAGCCCCAGUCCUACGCAGGGACUACACUGCGCAUGUUCAAAGGGGGCGUGUCAGGGGUGGGGCGAGACGGAGGGGCGGUGCCGAGGGGAGAGGCGGCGCAGAGGGAAGGAGCGGGGCGAGGAGAAGGGGCGGGGCGAGUACUGCUCCAAGAUAUGGCAACCGUGACAGCUUUGCGAGUAGCUCCAGGUCCCCUGCUGCUCCGUGAGAAAUCAAACUUCUGGCAAUGACGAAGCAUGAAGCCAGCAUCUCAGGGAGAGGUGAGAAAACUGACACUUGGAGAGGUAGAGUAGCUUUAUUUACUUCACACAAGCUUUUGAUGAAUUUCAAGUCUCAACCUAGAAGUCUUCCUCUAAGGUAUGACUGUG
rnacentral:lncRNA from 1 species